rnacentral:rRNA from 1 species
UACGUAGGUGGCAAGCGUUGUCCGGAUUUAUUGGGCGAUAAAGCGAACGCAGGCGGGAGAAUAAGUCAGCUGUGAAAGCCCCCAGCUUAACUGGGGAACUGCAACUGAAACUAUUUUUCUUGAGUGCAGAAGAGGAGAGUGGAACUCCAUGUGUAGCGGUGGAAUGCGUAGAUAUAUGGAAGAACACCAGUGGCGAAGGCGGCUCUCUGGUCUGUAACUGACGCUGAGGUUCGAAAGCAUGGGUAGCGAACAGG